CCUGCUGCUGGAUCAUU
rnacentral:rRNA from 1 species